rnacentral:ncRNA from 1 species
GUUCCAGAAUAAUCGGCUAGACUUGUUAAAAUUUAAACUUUAUUUUGUUUUAAUUAUAAUUGUUUGUUUAGUUUUUAAAUAAUUAUAGGUUAAAUUUUAAUUAUUUUAUGUGUAUAAUUAUAAUUUUAAAUUUUGAAAAUCGAAUUAGAUUAGUACCUAAUUAGUCAAAAGUUAAAAGAGCAGGAGUAAAGUAAAAUUUAAACUGAAAGAAUAUUGGCAGAUUUUCUAAAUUAUCUUUGGAGGUUGAGUAAUAAUUGAGAACCCUCAUUAACUACUUUUUUAGUGGUCUCAUGUAUGAUCGUUUAUUAUAUGCUUAAGGUAUAUAAUUAAAAAUUAUUUAUUUAUAAAAAUAGAUAUAUAUUUGGUUUAUAUAAAAGUAAUAUUUGACCUACAAUAAUUUGUAAUUGUGAAUCUACUUUUUAGUAAAGUAGUGAAAAUGUAAAAGACAGUAAAAAAAUUUUUAUGGUUUUUUGAAGAUUAUUUAGAAGUGGUACAAAUCAUCCAUCAAUUGCCCAAAGGGGAGUAAGUUGA